rnacentral:rRNA from 1 species
AGCUUGCUCCUGGAUUCAGCGGCGGACGGGUGAGUAAUGCCUAGGAAUCUGCCUGGUAGUGGGGGAUAACGUCCGGAAACGGGCGCUAAUACCGCAUACGUCCUGAGGGAGAAAGUGGGGGAUCUUCGGACCUCACGCUAUCAGAUGAGCCUAGGUCGGAUUAGCUAGUUGGUGGGGUAAAGGCCUACCAAGGCGACGAUCCGUAACUGGUCUGAGAGGAUGAUCAGUCACACUGGAACUGAGACACGGUCCAGACUCCUACGGGAGGCAGCAGUGGGGAAUAUUGGACAAUGGGCGAAAGCCUGAUCCAGCCAUGCCGCGUGUGUGAAGAAGGUCUUCGGAUUGUAAAGCACUUUAAGUUGGGAGGAAGGGCAGUAAGUUAAUACCUUGCUGUUUUGACGUUACCAACAGAAUAAGCACCGGCUAACUUCGUGCCAGCAGCCGCGGUAAUACGAAGGGUGCAAGCGUUAAUCGGAAUUACUGGGCGUAAAGCGCGCGUAGGUGGUUCAGCAAGUUGGAUGUGAAAUCCCCGGGCUCAACCUGGGAACUGCAUCCAAAACUACUGAGCUAGAGUACGGUAGAGGGUGGUGGAAUUUCCUGUGUAGCGGUGAAAUGCGUA